CGUGUAGGCGGGUAAAUAAGUCAGAAGUGAAAUCCAAUAGCUCAACUAUUGAACUGCUUUUGAAACUGUAGAGCUUGAGUGAAGUAGAGGUAGGCGGAAUUCCCGGUGUAGCGGUGAAAUGCGUAGAGAUCGGGAGGAACACCAGUGGCGAAGGCGGCCUACUGGGCUUUAACUGACGCUGAGGCACGAAAGCAUGGGUAAGCAAACA
rnacentral:rRNA from 1 species